rnacentral:rRNA from 1 species
UCGGANUCCGAUUUAGCCAUGCUNGUUGCACGAGUUUAGACUCGUAGCAUAUAGCUCAGUAACACGUGGCCAAACUACCCUACAGACCGCGAUAACCUCGGGAAACUGAGGCCAAUAGCGGAUAUAACUCUCAGGCUGGAGUGCCGAGAGUUAGAAACGUUCCGGCGCUGUAGGAUGUGGCUGCGGCCGAUUAGGUAGAUGGUGGGGUAACGGCCCACCAUGCCGAUAAUCGGUACAGGUUGUGAGAGCAAGAGCCUGGAGACGGUAUCUGAGACAAGAUACCGGGCCCUACGGGGCGCAGCAGGCGCGAAACCUUUACACUGCACGACAGUGCGAUAGGGGGACUCCGAGUGUGAGGGCAUAUAGCCCUCGCUUUUCUGAACCGUAAGGUGGUUCAGGAACAAGGACUGGGCAAGACCGGUGCCAGCCGCCGCGGUAAUACCGGCAGUCCAAGUGAUGGCCGAUAUUAUUGGGCCUAAAGCGUCCGUAGCUUGCUGUGUAAGUCCAUUGGGAAAUCGACCAGCUCAACUGGUCGGCGUCCGGUGGAAACUACACAGCUUGGGGCCGAGAGACUCAACGGGUACGUCCGGGGUAGGAGUGAAAUCCUGUAAUCCUGGACGGACCACCAAUGGGGAAACCACGUUGAGAGACCGGACCCGACAGUGAGGGACGAAAGCCAGGGUCUCGAACCGGAUUAGAUACCCGGGUAGUCCUGGCUGUAAACAAUGCUCGCUAGGUAUGUCACGCGCCAUGAGCACGUGAUGUGCCGUANUGAAGACNAUAAGCGAGCCGCCUGGGNNGUACGUCCGCAAGGAUGAAACUUAAAGGAAUUUGGGCGGG